rnacentral:rRNA from 1 species
CAGUCGCCGCGGGAAUACGUAGGUGGCAAGCGUUGUCCGGAAUUAUUGGGCGUAGAGCGCGCGCAGGCGGAUAGGUCAGUCUGUCUUAAAAGUUCGGGGCUUAACCCCGUGAUGGGAUGGAAACUGCCAAUCUAGAGUAUCGGAGAGGAAAGUGGAAUUCCUAGUGUAGCGGUGAAAUGCGUAGAUAUUAGGAAGAACACCAGUGGCGAAGGCGACUUUCUGGACGAAAACUGACGCUGAGGCGCGAAAGCCAGGGGAGCGAACGGGAUUAGAUACCCCCGUAGUCCCUGUCUCUUAUACC